rnacentral:tRNA from 1 species
UCUUCGGUAGUAUAGGGGUCAGUAUCCCCGCCUGUCACGCGGGAGACCCGGGUUCAAGUCCCGGCCGGAGAG